AAUAGAUACCCGGGUAGUCCACGCCGUAAACGAUGAGUGCUAAGUGUUAGAGGGUUUCCGCCCUUUAGUGCUGCAGCAAACGCAUUAAGCACUCCGCCUGGGGAGUACGGUCGCAAGACUGAAACUCAAAGGAAUUGACGGGGGCCCGCACAAGCGGUGGAGCAUGUGGUUUAAUUCGAAGCAACGCGAAGAACCUUACCAGGUCUUGACAUCCCGUGACAACUCUAGAGAUAGGGCUUUCCCCUUCGGGGGACACGGUGACAGGUGGUGCAUGGUUGUCGUCAGCUCGUGUCGUGAGAUGUUGGGUUAAGUCCCGCAACGAGCGCAACCCUUGAUCUUAGUUGCCAGCAUUCAGUUGGGCACUCUAAGGUGACUGCCGGUGACAAACCGGAGGAAGGUGGGGAUGACGUCAAAUCAUCAUGCCCCUUAUGACCUGGGCUACACACGUGCUACAAUGGAUGGUACAAAGGGCAGCGAAACCGCGAGGUUAAGCCAAUCCCAUAAAACCAUUCUCAGUUCGGAUUGCAGGCUGC
rnacentral:rRNA from 1 species